UACGUAGAGUGCGAGCGUUAAUCGGAAUUACUGGGCGUAAAGCGUGCGUAGGUGGUUCGUUGUGUCUGUGGUGAAAGCCCCGGGCUUAACCUGGGAAUGGCCAUGGAAACUGGCGAGCUGGAGUCUGGCAGAGGGGGGGUGGAAUUCCGCGUGUAGCAGUGAAAUGCGUAGAGAUGCGGAGGAACACCGAUGGCGAAGGCAGCCCCCUGGGCUAAGACUGACGCUGAGGCACGAAAGCGUGGGGAGCAAACAGG
rnacentral:rRNA from 1 species